UUUAAUUAUACAUUUUUGAUAAUUAACUGCAAAAAUAAAAUCUGUCGAAAAUCCUGUAGUAAAAAAAAAUUGAAAGCCCUGAAAGACGGGAUACGCCAGAUGUGCGUUCCGUGUGCAAAAGAUCUACUAGUAACAAUGGUAACGCUCGGCUGAAUAACAAAAAAAUGACAAAUGAAAAUACGCAGUUGAAGAGCAAUGAGGAUCCAAAACUUCUAAAUCUUUUUUCAAAAGACAGC
rnacentral:lncRNA from 1 species